GCAGCAGAAAAAUUUGUCCCGCUAUUGUCUGCAUUAGAGAGAUUUUACUGCAUUAAACCAUCUCUUGUUUGAAGUUUGAUCCAGUUUGCAGUUGGCCCAAGAUUUUUGAAAAAAGUAUUUCAUCGGAACUUUGUCUGAGGGCAUUGUUUUGGAUAAAUCUGCGAAUCAAAGGAUCCAAAUGGAAAAAAGAUCUGGAAAAAGUGAUUCAGCCAAGUUUUUAAAUUUCUUUUGAAUAAAUAUUUGUAAUUAUGUUGUUAUAUAGCUUG